CCUACGGGCGGCAGCAGUGGGGGAUAUUGCACAAUGGGGGAAACCCUGAUGCAGCGACGCCGCGUGAGUGAAGAAGGUCCUCGGCGCGUAAAGCCCUGUCAGCAGGGGAGAAAAUGACGGUACCUGAGGACGAAGCGCCGGCUAACUACGUGCCAGCAGCCGCGGUAAUACGUAGGGGGGAAGCGUUAUCCGGAUUGACUGGGUUUAAAGGGGGCGCAGACGGCGGUGCAAGUCAGUAGUGAAGGCCCGGGGCCCAACCCAGGGACUGCUCUUGGCACUGCGUGGCUUGAGUGCAGGAGGGGUAGGCGGAAUUCCUGGUGUAGCGGUGAAAUGCGUAGAUAUCAGGAGGAACACCGGUGGCGAAGGCGGCCUGCUGGACUGCAACUGACGUUGAGGCCCGAAAGCGUGGGGAGCAAACAGGAUUAGAUACCCCUGUAGUC
rnacentral:rRNA from 1 species